UUUUAAAUUUAGAGUUUGAUCCUGGCUCAGGACGAACGCUGGCGGCGUGCUUAACACAUGCAAGUCGAGCGAUGAAGCUUCCUUCGGGAAGUGGAUUAGCGGCGGACGGGUGAGUAACACGUGGGUAACCUGCCUCAAAGUGGGGGAUAGCCUUCCGAAAGGAAGAUUAAUACCGCAUAAUAUAAGAGAAUCGCAUGAUUUUCUUAUCAAAGAUUUAUUGCUUUGAGAUGGACCCGCGGCGCAUUAGCUAGUUGGUGAGGUAACGGCUUACCAAGGCAACGAUGCGUAGCCGACCUGAGAGGGUGAUCGGCCACAUUGGAACUGAGACACGGUCCAGACUCCUACGGGAGGCAGCAGUGGGGAAUAUUGCGCAAUGGGGGAAACCCUGACGCAGCAACGCCGCGUGGGUGAUGAAGGUCUUCGGAUUGUAAAGCCCUGUUUUCUAGGACGAUAAUGACGGUACUAGAGGAGGAAGCCACGGCUAACUACGUGCCAGCAGCCGCGGUAAUACGUAGGUGGCGAGCGUUGUCCGGAUUUACUGGGCGUAAAGGGUGCGUAGGCGGAUGUUUAAGUGGGAUGUGAAAUCCCCGGGCUUAACCUGGGGGCUGCAUUCCAAACUGGAUAUCUAGAGUGCAGGAGAGGAAAGCGGAAUUCCUAGUGUAGCGGUGAAAUGCGUAGAGAUUAGGAAGAACACCAGUGGCGAAGGCGGCUUUCUGGACUGUAACUGACGCUGAGGCACGAAAGCGUGGGUAGCAAACAGGAUUAGAUACCCUGGUAGUCCACGCCGUAAACGAUGGAUACUAGGUGUAGGGGGUAUCAACUCCCCCUGUGCCGCAGUUAACACAAUAAGUAUCCCGCCUGGGGAGUACGGUCGCAAGAUUAAAACUCAAAGGAAUUGACGGGGGCCCGCACAAGCAGCGGAGCAUGUGGUUUAAUUCGAAGCAACGCGAAGAACCUUACCUGGACUUGACAUCCCUUGCAUAGCCUAGAGAUAGGUGAAGCCCUUCGGGGCAAGGAGACAGGUGGUGCAUGGUUGUCGUCAGCUCGUGUCGUGAGAUGUUAGGUUAAGUCCUGCAACGAGCGCAACCCUUGUUAUUAGUUGCUACCAUUAAGUUGAGCACUCUAAUGAGACUGCCUGGGUAACCAGGAGGAAGGUGGGGAUGACGUCAAAUCAUCAUGCCCCUUAUGUCCAGGGCUACACACGUGCUACAAUGGUAGGUACAAUAAGACGCAAGACCGUGAGGUGGAGCAAAACUUAUAAAACCUAUCUCAGUUCGGAUUGUAGGCUGCAACUCGCCUACAUGAAGCUGGAGUUGCUAGUAAUCGCGAAUCAGAAUGUCGCGGUGAAUACGUUCCCGGGCCUUGUACACACCGCCCGUCACACCAUGAGAGCUGGUAACACCCGAAGUCCGUGAGGUAACCGUAAGGAGCCAGCGGCCGAAGGUGGGAUUAGUGAUUGGGGUGAAGUCGUAACAAGGUAGCCGUAGGAGAACCUGCGGCUGGAUCACCUCCUUUCUA
rnacentral:rRNA from 1 species